rnacentral:rRNA from 1 species
CCCGCUGAAUUUAAGCAUAUCAGUAAGCGGUGGAAAAGAAACUACCAGGAUUCUCUCAGUAACGGCGAGUGAACAGAGAACAGCCCAGCACCGAAGCCUAUCUGCGCUUGUGGAUAAGGCAAUGUGGUGUUUAGGUGUAUGCCUGGGGUGGUCAGUCUAUUCGAAGUCCAGCAUAGAUUAUGGCUCUGGAUAUGGUCCAUAGCGGGUGAAAGACCCGUACGGAUAGACUGUGAGGUAUGUUGACCGCCCUCAGAUGCAUUCACCUUGGAGUCGGAUAGCUUGAGAAUGCUGUCCAAAGUGGGUGGUAAACUCCAUCCAAGGCUAAAUACUUGCACGAGUCCGAUAGCUAACAAGUACCGUGAGGGAAAGUUGAAAAGUACUCUGAAGAGAGAGUAAAUAGUACGUGAAACCGCCUGUAGAGAAGCUGGUGGAGUCAAGCUGCAUGCCCUGGAAAUUAAGCAAGCGAUUGUUGAAGCAUUGUGGAGUUGGGCGAUUGGUGGUCUUGCAAAUAGGCCUACGGAUUAGUCCGUUCCAUGUGCGCACUGGUUGGUGCGUAUGAGGCCAGUCGUCUUAUCUCUGUGUCGCUUGUGUGCUUUUCCUGUGGCAGACAUCACGAUCGGUAUCGCCGCUGGCACAUGGUAGUGAAACCAUUCGGACGUGAGUCCUGUACUCGCGCCGGGUGGGACGGCAGGUAGCUCGCUUGAGGGCCUUACGGUUCUCCUGUGAGUGUUUUGUGGUUACGACCGGCUCUCUACCAUUCUGUUAUGCAUUUAGCCAUGCGGUAUACCGUUGCUUUGCUUAGUGUCCUGAGGUCGCCGUAUUCUCUGUUGGUUGUCCGGACUUGUUUCUGCGCAAGCAGUGCGGGCUCGUGACUGACUGAUGGGGAGUGCGUCCGAUUGCAGGCACGUGAAUCGUGGUGUUGUGGUAACGUUCCACCCGACCCGUC